rnacentral:rRNA from 1 species
UACGGGGGGAGCAAGCGUUGUUCGGAUUUACUGGGCGUAAAGGGCGCGUAGGCGGUCGUGACAAGUCACUUGUGAAAUCUCCCGGGCUUAACUCGGAACGGUCAAGUGAUACUGUCGGACUAGAGUACAGAAGGGGCAACUGGAAUUCUCGGUGUAGCGGUGAAAUGCGUAGAUAUCGAGAGGAACACCUGCGGCGAAGGCGGGUUGCUGGGCUGAUACUGACGCUGAGGCGCGAAAGCCAGGGGAGCGCAACGGG